rnacentral:rRNA from 1 species
GGUAAUGCCGGAUGCUCCAGUUGAUCGCAUGGUCUUCUGGGAAAGCUUUCGCGGUAUGGGAUGGGGUCGCGUCCUAUCAGCUUGACGGCGGGGUAACGGCCCACCGUGGCUUCGACGGGUAGCCGGCCUGAGAGGGCGACCGGCCACAUUGGGACUGAGAUACGGCCCAGACUCCUACGGGAGGCAGCAGUGGGGAAUAUUGCACAAUGGGCGCAAGCCUGAUGCAGCGACGCCGCGUGAGGGAUGGAGGCCUUCGGGUUGUAAACCUCUUUUAUCGGGGAGCAAGCGWGAGUGAGUUUACCCGUUGAAUAAGCACCGGCUAACUACGUGCCAGCAGCCGCGGUAAUACGUAGGGUGCAAGCGUUAUCCGGAAUUAUUGGGCGUAAAGGGCUCGUAGGCGGUUCGUCGCGUCCGGUGUGAAAGUCCAUCGCUUAACGGUGGAUCCGCGCCGGGUACGGGCGGGCUUGAGUGCGGUAGGGGAGACUGGAAUUCCCGGUGUAACGGUGGAAUGUGUAGAUAUCGAAAAAAAA